rnacentral:rRNA from 1 species
AGGACGAACGCUGGCGGCGUGCUUAACACAUGCAAGUCGAGCGGAAAGGCCCUUCGGGGUACUCGAGCGGCGAACGGGUGAGUAACACGUGAGUAACCUGCCCCUAGCUUCGGGAUAGCUCCGGGAAACCGGAAUUAAUACCGGAUAUGACCACGGCCGACAUCGGCCACGGUGGAAAGAUUCAUCGGCUAGGGAUGGGCUCGCGGCCUAUCAGCUUGUUGGUGGGGUAACAGCCUACCAAGGCGACGACGGGUAGCCGGCCUGAGAGGGCGACCGGCCACACUGGGGACUGAGACACGGCCCAGACUCCUACGGGAGGCAGCAGUGGGGAAUAUUGCGCAAUGGGCGAAAGCCUGACGCAGCGACGCCGCGUGGGGGAUGAAGGCCUUCGGGUUGUAAACCCCUUUCGGCAGGGACGAAGCGAAAGUGACGGUACCUGCAGAAGAGCGCCGGCUAACUACGCGCCAGCAGCCGC